UGCACCCAAUCGAUGAUGCCUCCCUCUUUAGUGCAAGUCUCAAACGAGACCCAGCACAGGAGGUCACUGUUAUGUCAUCACAAUCUCUUGCGUCGACUCAUGCAGCCUAUGAGGCUAAGCAGCCACAAAUGAUCCAGGGCUGUUGUUGUGCCUUCCAUUAUGAAUAGCGAGGUGGCACCCUAGGCGGGCGCCUACCCGUCAUCCUGGAAAGGGAGCUGAAAAAUGAUUCAACAAGGUCUUAUAACUUGUUAUAUGCUGGAGCAAUGAGAUGAUAGUAUCACGUGCUUCAAGAAGCCCAGACCUGACUCCUCCUCAUGCAGUUCUGAUGUCUCCAGCUCUUCACUUAUCCUACAGCACAAUACAGGGUUUCAUAUAACAUCUGCUUUCCAGACAUCAGAGCUACAAUGAAGAAGAACCACCACAUUGUCUGCAUUUUACUGGUUCUCUGCUCAGGACAAGUUGUUGGAGACUCCAUUAAGUCAAUGAAUUCUCAGACAUUUACUGAAGAAGGCCAGGAAGUCACUCUCUCCUGCUCCUAUACAACCACAUAUCCCUCUGUAUAUCUGUACUGGUAUCGUCAUUAUCCUGGAUCAGCUCCACAAUUUAUAUUAUAUAAAGCUAGUAAAGGCUCUGCUAGUAAUGCUGCUCCAUUUGCUGGGGAGAGAUUUAUAUCCGAGGUGACAUUAAACUCUACAGAGCUGGUUAUCAGUGAUGUGAAGACGGAGGACUCAGCCACCUACCUCUGCGCUCUGCAGGCAGCACAGUGUCACACAUCUAACCUCUCAUCCUACAGAAACCUCAUUGUCAGUUUCUAA